AGAGUUUGAUUAUGGCUCAGAUUGAACGCUGGCGGCAGGCCUAACACAUGCAAGUCGAGCGGUAGCACAGAGAAGCUUGCUUCUUGGGUGACGAGCGGCGGACGGGUGAGUAACGCGUGGGAAUCUACCUGGUAGUGGGGGACAACAGUCGGAAACGACUGCUAAUACCGCAUACGCCCUUCGGGGGAAAGUGGGGGAUCUUCGGACCUCUCACUAUCAAAUGAUCCCGCGUCGGAUUAGCUUGUUGGUGAGGAAAAGGCUCACCAAGGCGACGAUCCCUACCUGGUCUGAUAGGAUGACCAUCCACACUGGGACUGAGACACGGCCCAAACUCCUACUGGAGGAAGCAGUGGGGAAUAUUGGACAAUGGGGGAAACCCUGAUCCUGCCAUGCCGCGUGUGUGAAGAAGGCCUUCUGGUUGUAAAGCACUUUCAUCUGUGAGGAAAGGCAAGAGGUUAAUACCCGCUUGCUGUGACGUUAACUCCAUAACAAGGACCGGCUAACUCCGUGCCGGCAGCCGCGGUAAUACGGAGGGUCCGAGCGUUAAUCGGAAUUACUGGGCGUAAAGCGCGCGUAGGUGGCUCAUUCAUUCACAUGUGAAAGCCCCGGGCUCAACCUGGGAACUGCACUUGAAACUGCUGAGCUAAAGUACGGUAUAGGGUAGUGGAAUUUCCAGUGUAGCGGUAAAAUGCGUAGAGAUCGGAAGGAACACCAGUGGCGAAGGCGACUACCUGCACAGACACUGACACUGAAGUGCAAAAGCUUGGGUAGCAAACAGGAUUAGAUACCCUGGUAGUCCACGCCGUAAACGAUGUCUAGUAGCCGCUGGGGGACUCGAUCCUGUAGUGGCGCAAGCUAACGCGAUAAGUUGCCCGCCGUGAGGAGUACGGCCGCAAGGUUAAAACUCAAAUGAAUUGGCGGGGGCCCGCACAAGCGGUGGAGCAUGUGGUUUAAUUCGAAGCAACGCGAAGCACCUUACCUCCUCUUGACAUCCAGAGAACUUUCCAGAGAUGGAUUGGUGCCCUCGGGAACUCUGAGACAGGUGUUGCACGGCUGUGGUCAGCUCGUGUGGUGAAAUGUUGGGUUAAGUCCCGCAACGAGCGCAACCCUUAUCCUUAUUUGCCAGCGCGUAAUGUCGGGAACUUUAAGGAGACUGCCGGUGACAAACCGGAGGAAGGUGGGGAGGACGUCAAGUCAUCAUGGCCCUUACGAGUAGGGCUACACACGUGCUACAAUGGCCGGUACAGAGGGCUGCAAACUCGCGAGAGUAAGCUAAUCUCACAAAACCGGUCGUAGUCCGGAUCGCAGUCUGCAACUCGACUGCGUGAAGUCGGAAUCGCUAGUAAUCGUGAAUCAGAAUGUCACGGUGAAUACGUUCCCGGGCCUUGCACACACC
rnacentral:rRNA from 1 species